rnacentral:rRNA from 1 species
GACGAACGCUGGCGGCGUGCUUAACACAUGCAAGUCGAACGGUGAACCUGGCUUCGGCCAGGGGAUCAGUGGCGAACGGGUGAGUAACACGUGACCAACCUGCCCUCCGCUCUGGGAUAACCCCGGGAAACCGGGGCUAAUACCGGAUACGAGAUCGCGCGGCAUCACGCGGUCUGGAAAGUUUUUCGGCGGAGGAUGGGGUCGCGGCCUAUCAGCUUGUUGGUGGGGUAACGGCCCACCAAGGCGACGACGGGUAGCCGGCCUGAGAGGGCGACCGGCCACACUGGGACUGAGACACGGCCCAGACUCCUACGGGAGGCAGCAGUGGGGAAUAUUGCGCAAUGGGCGAAAGCCUGACGCAGCGACGCCGCGUGAGGGAUGACGGCCUUCGGGUUGUAAACCUCUUUCAGCAGGGAAGAAGCGAAAGUGACGGUACCUGCAGAAGAAGCACCGGCUAACUACGUGCCAGCCGCCGCUGUAACAC